rnacentral:rRNA from 1 species
UACAGAGGGUGCGAGCGUUAAUCGGAAUUACUGGGCGUAAAGGGCGCGUAGGCGGCCUGCUAAGUCGGAUGUGAAAUCCCUCGGCUCAACCGAGGAACUGCAUCCGAUACUGGCGGGCUUGAAUCCGGGAGAGGGAUGUGGAAUUCCAGGUGUAGCGGUGAAAUGCGUAGAUAUCUGGAGGAACACCGGUGGCGAAGGCGGCAUCCUGGACCGGUAUUGACGCUGAGGCG